GUCUAUGUCAUACUUCCAAGAAAAGCUUGCACUGUCAUAAACAAAUAAUGCCUGUACCAUAACCGACACAGGUGGGUAGGUAGAGUAUACUAAGGGGCGCGAGAUAACUCUCUCUAAGGAACUCGGCAAAAUGACUCCGUAACUUCGGGAGAAGUGCCUUCUUUAGAAGGUUGCAAUAACAAGAUCCAAGCAACUGUUUACCAAAAACACAGGUCUCCGCUAAGUCGUAAGACGAUGUAUGGGGGCUGACGCCUGCCCAGUGCCAGAAGGUUAAAGAAGUUGGUUAGCAUUCGCGAAGCUGAUAACUGAAGCCCUGGUGAACGGCGGCCGUAACAAUAACGGUCCUAAGGUAGCGAAAUUCCUUGUCGGGUAAGUUCCGACCCGCACGAAAGGCGUAAUGAUUUGGAUACUGUCUCGGAGAGGGACUCGGUGAAAUAGACUUGUCUGUGGAGAUGCGGACUACCUGCACCUGGACAGAAAGACCCUAUGAAGCUUUACUGUAACUUGAAAUUGAAAUUGGACUUUAUUUGCGCAGUAUAGGUGGGAGGCUUUGAGAAUAAUCUUGCGGGAUUAUUGGAGCUAUCAGUGAGAUACCACUCUUGUAAUGUUAGAUUUCUAACUUUGGAUCAUUAUCUGGUCAAAGAACAGUUUCAGGCGGGCAGUUUGACUGGGGCGGUCGCCUCCCAAACGGUAACGGAGGCGCACAAAGGUUUCCUCUGAACGGGUAGAAAUCGUAUCUAGAGUGUAAAGGCAUAAGGAAGCUUGACUGUGAGACCUACAAGUCGAGCAGGGACGAAAGUCGGUCUUAGUGAUCUGACGGUGCUGAGUGGAAAGGCCGUCACUCAACGGAUAAAAGUUACUCUAGGAUAACAGGCUGAUCUCCCCCAAGAGUUCACAUCGACGGGGAGGUUUGGCACCUCGAUGUCGGCUCAUCGCAUCCUGGGGCGGUAGUACGUCCCAAGGGUUGGGCUGUUCGCCCAUGAAAGCGGUACGCGAGCUGGGUUCAGAACGUCGUGAGACAGUUCGGUCCAUAUCCGGUGUAGGCGUUAGAAUAUUGAGAGGAGCCUUCUCUAGUACGAGAGGACCGAGAAGGACAUACCUCUGGUGUACCAGUUAUCGUGCCAACGGUAAACGCUGGGUAGCUAUGUAUGGAGUGGAUAACCGCUGAAAGCAUCUAAGUGGGAAGCCCACCUCAAGAUUAGAUUUCCCUGGCUUCGGCCCUGUAGACCCGUUCUAGACUAGGACGUUGAUAGGCUGGAGGUGGAAGUACGGUAACGUA
rnacentral:rRNA from 1 species